rnacentral:sRNA from 2 species
AUAUCCCAAAGGAAACACAGUAUUGCUUUAUCCCUGUUGUCCGAAUGGUGUCGGUAUUCCAUUGUCUUGGCGUUGGUUAACUCAUACAACACCUGUUACUUGGAUUUAAGACAAAUAGGGAAAUUCUUGCGCGUCAGCAAAUAUUAUGGACGCUUAUCUUUUCCAACAAACCCGUUCUGCGGGAGACGUCGAGCCGGAAAUGAGUACGGCAAUUUCUUUCAAGUCGAAUUGUAAAAUACCCCGAUAUAUUGGCCGGAAGAAGGCGACCAGAGGUUGCCCUGACGUCCUUUGCUAUUUGGGCCGAGUCCCUGGCUGGACAUGACAAUAAAA